AAGUCCUGGGGUCAAUUUGCUCGACUAAAGGCGGUGCUCCAGCAUAGCCACAGUCAAAUGUGAAACAAGUAAAAGAGUACUUGUUUCACAGUCAAACAAGUAAAAAGUAAAGUGCAAUGCAGUGGUGAGUAGUUUAGGACAUAGUACUGUUAUUAAUGUCUAAUUCUAAAAUAUACUACACUUUUCAACAAUUGUAUUUAUAUUAGUAUCACUCUAUCCAUCUCUCCACCACCAUACUAGUAUCACUGUUGCUACAAUUAUCUCCUCCGUUGGUCUCUUUUAAUUAAGGAUCUGAUGUAAAUUCUCUCCACUUCUUUCCUACUAUACCAAAUAUGUAAUCAGUCUUCGAACAGUGACUACAACAACCUCUAUAGCAGGCUACUCUUCUCUCUCUUCAUCUUCACUACUUCUGUCUCUCUCUUUGUUUCUCUCUAUUGUUUGGUCCUAGGUUAGUCUUGAUUGAGCAGAUCUCUACUUAAAAGUAUUCCAGCCUCGACCAUCCAUACUCUGACCUCAUAAUCAUAUUGUUCAACUUCCCCUGAGACAGUACAGUGUGACUGGAGGAAGAUUCAGCUUCUAUUUCUUGCAGGUCAAGCAACUGUGUUAAUUUAUUGAUAAAUUAGACAUUUGACUAUUAAAGUCAUGAGUUCUCAUCUCAUUGCAGUUGCUUACAUCUUAAUAGUUUUACGAACAAGAUACUUCUCUUACCCAGGGACUUUCUCCUUAAGAUGCACAAAUAUUACUUAACCUUUAUGUUUAUCAUAUUAACAAUUUUUGUUGUUGUUGGUGUCAUUUAACCCUAAGUUAGGCCAGAUCAUAUGGACCUAUGAUGUUCAAAAGUACUCUAGCUGCAAUCAUCCUGUCUUUUCUUUUUUAUAAAUAGUGUAUCUAGGACCACAUUAUCCAAUAUUUCUUUCCCCUUUUUUAGGUAUUAAAAUGUGAUAUGAGGGGAAUUUAGCUGCUAUUUCUUGUAGUUUGAGUGGCCACAUAGAUACUUCCUCAAUGUCUGCUAUAUUUCCAGCUCCUACAUGUGAAACUCCAUUGAAAAUGUUGCCUUGGCCACUAAUGAUUAUAAACCUGGUUGAGCUGUUUUCUUUCUGUGUAGUUGUUGUUAAACUAUCAAAAAUUCCCCAAAGAAGCGAUUUGCUGAGGCAAAAUGGAAAUAUUGAAGGAUUGUGUUCUUUCUUGUUCUGCAAAUUACUCGGCAAUCCUUCUAGUACUGGUGGCACAAAAAUAAAAAAGGAAAAGCAUCCCGCACAUACUAUAAAGUGGUUGGCAUUAGGAAGGGCAUCCGGUCAUAGAAACCAGAGUAAAGCUGACAUGGAGUAUUUUCUUCGGGAGCUUUGGAGAGAUGGUGAUAUUUGUAAUAAUAGCAAUGUGAAUUCCAAGGAGUUUGAUACCAAGAAGUUAGUUAUCACAACGAAUUCUAAAAAAAAGAGAGUUAUCAUGGUUCUAAAGUGUCACCAUUGAUAGUUUCAAAAAGUUACCAUUCUUAUAUUUAUUUCCUUAGAAUUAUAAGACUUGUAUAACAUUAUUAUGGUGGUGGAGUGGCAGAGAUGGUAAGAGUGUCUGACUAAAUGUCUUAUAGUGUUCAGUUAUGUCCCUUUAUGUUCUGAGUUUCAAUACUGGUGGUGGUGGUGAUGGUAAGGGUGGAUUUUGCCUGUCUUACUUUUAGGGUUCUUUGAGAUGGGGAGAGUGUAAUAUAAACCAACUUUGUGUCUCUCCUACAUAUAUGUAGACUUGAGUUGGAGCUAGAAAUUAUUUGAUAAUCACAGUAAGCUGACAAAUGGUUUGCGAAAAAUCUGUAGUAUGCUACUAACACAUACACACGGAUAUAUAUAUAAGUACAAUAUAUGCAUGUGUUUGUGUGUGUGUGAAUGUAAACACACACAUACAUACAUACAUACAUUCAUGCAUGCAUGCAUACAUAGCAGACUGAUUUGCAUUUACUAGAUACAAUCAAUCAGAAGAACAAUGAAAAUGUGUAAAACAUUUCAGGGUUUCUCCAUUUGUGGUUAGUGACCAGCUUCAAUUCUGAAAAGGUUAAAAACUUAAUAAAUCCUCUCAAGAAAAUAUACAUAUAGUUCGUUAGAAAGUCCUCGUACAAUUUGAAAUAUUUAUAUAUGACAAAAUUAAUGUGUAAAGAACAUUUACAAACCUGACACAUCUAUUUUAUUGUCACCAAUCACAAAUUUUACUAUAAUUGUUCGAACUUAUAAAGAACUAUUAAUUUAUUUUAUGAGGAAUAUGUAAAGACUAAUAUUUAGUGAAUUAAACCUUGUUCUAUAAAUGAUUCUGCAGGUUAGGAUAAUUAAUGUGUUAUAAAAUAUAACUGAAAGUCAGUUGGGAUGAAAUUUUAGAAUAGAAUUAAAUUAUAGUUUUAUAUAUAAUGAUGGUGGGCAUGUUGAAACUUAAGUCACAAGAUUCUAUUUAAAAGUCAAAUAAAUUCUGCCACUUAUUCCUUUCAUACAUUUAUUUUAUUAUACAUAGGACUAAUGUUAAACAAACUGAGAAUGAUCCUAUAUAGAAAAUGUGUGUGUGUGUGUGCUAUAUAGCAACAGCUGCAUGUAGAUUAGGUUUUACAAAUGAAGGAGUGAAAUAUUCAAAUACUGAAAGAGUACAUUUACAUUUUGAGUUUGAAAAUUUAUAGCAUUAUUACAUGAUAGUUUAAAAUGUCCAAUUUGAAGUGUGUGCAUGUAUCUCACACACACAUGCAUGCACAUACACACACACACACUUUCUCUUCCUCCCUCUCUCUCUCUCUCCAUCAUCUCUAUUUGUCAUCCUUCUUUCCUCUGACCUUGACACUAUCAGCACUGCUUCUCCAAUCCCUGUCCGUAGCUCUCUCUUAUUCACCCUUCUCCUGCCACCCUGCAUUACUUUUAAUAUUUCCUUUACCUUCUAAACUCUUCUCCCUUACCAAUUUGUUUCGCACACAAUCCCUUUACAGCAACACUUUACAAUUUUCCAGCCUUCCCUCUCUGCCAAAACCAAUAUAUAUUGACUCAAUUCUUAGUUUCUAAAACAUACCUUCUUUGUCGAUACUUUAUGCACAUAUGCUUUCUGAAACAUUGGUUGUCAUAUUGUAAUAAUAUGAAUAAAUCCAUGUGUAUAUAUUCAUACAUACAUACAUACAUACAUACAUACAUACAUACAUACAUACAUAUGUAUGUACACACACAUGCACACACUCACACACACACACACAGAUAUAUAUAGAUAGAGAUAUGUUAAAGUAGAUGUGCAUGAUAUAUAUCAUGCACAUACACUCACAUACAUGUAUGUAUGUUUCUCUGAUUGAUGGGCAAUUUGAAUUUUCUAACCUGCAGUCUGUUGUUACUUGUUGUAAGACUGUCAUUCACUUCUGCUCAAUGUGAAAUAUUCCCAGUGAACACCGUUGAUGUUCAGAGACUUUUAAGAUUGUUUCUUGUGUUACCAUGAAAUCUCUUCAUUGGUUGUUCACAGGAGAGACCGUCUGAGAACUAAUUCUCCAUUUUAAUCACAAGUGUGUAGUACAAGGUUACAAUGCUAUUGUUUCAACCCCUGGUCAUCCUUGGGUGCUGUUAUAUAUCUUUUUUCUAUAGUAGCCUAGUUUAUAUAAAUCUGUUUUGAAGGUUGCCAUUAACUGUUGAGCUAGUUAUUAGUAAAUAAUAUUUAAAUGAUGCUAUAGUUAUAUUCAACAAUAAAUGAGAAAAUGAAACAAAAAGGUAUGUAGUGUAAAUCAUGGUUGCUAGAGUAUGACACUUCACACUUGCAUUUUGUAUUGAGCAUUACAUAUAAAAGUUAUGCACUUCAACUGAAUUAAUUUCAGGGAAGAAUAAAAUAUAAAUAUAUAUAAUAUACAUGUAUCAAUGUAUGUGUAUAUGCAUGCAUAUACACAUACUCGUGUGUAUGUAUGUAUGUAUAUAUGUAUAUAUAUGCAUACAUACACACACACACUAUAUAUAUAUAUACACACAUACACAAAGACACACACUCACAAUAUAUAUAUAUAACAUUAUUUUACUUGAUAUUUUCCUCCAAUCUAAAGGUUUGCUAAUGUACAAAAAGUAGGAUUCAGCCAAAAUUCUUUACUAAAUUUAAAAAAAAACUACCACCACCACCAUACCACUGCUAACAGCACUGCAAUAUAAACUCAUCAAGUUCUGUUUUAUGAAAAAAAAAAACCAUUUUGCAAACUAACCCAAAUUGAUCUUGAAUCUGGCCUCAGAACACAAAUUCAGGUAACCAAAUAUCAGCAGCUUUCAGCUAAAUUCUAUGUUAUUAACCAUGUUUAUUUAUAGGGUGACAUAACUCUCUACUUCACUGAUGUAUUUAUUUAUAUAUUUGGUUUGUUUCCUUCUUUAUUUUGCUUAGAUGUUGACUUUGCCCUUCAUCCUUUCGGGGUUGAUAAAAUAAGUACCCCUUGAUCAAUGAGGUCAAUAUAAUUGUCUUACCCUUACCACCCAAAAUUGCUGGCCUUGUGCCAAAAUUUGAAAUCAUUAUUAUUAAGUACUUCCAGUCCAGUAUUGGCUGCUCUUCCUACUGUAACAGCUAAACUAGAUACCAGUAACAUGCAGGGGCGUGUAAAUAAGCACCAGUAAUGUACUUAGUUGAGUUUAACCAACUAUCUGUAGUUGGCCUUGUUGCUCAGUCAAAGCAUAAAUUAUUAUUGGGGGAAAGUGCAACAUGUUUGUUGUUUUAGCUCAAAGUUGGUCCUGAAUAGACCCUUUAUCAAUGAUAUCCCAGCUGUGAUUUUCUUGUCUUUUCCUUUUUAUAUCAUUCUAGCCACAGUGUAUUUAGUACCAUAUAUUAUCCAAUGUCUCUUUUAUUAAGACAGUAGGGUGUGAUUUGAAGGAGAUUUUUAGCAAGUUGAUUGGUUUAUGGAUAAAUACAAGAAAGUAAUUAAAAAAAAACAUUUAGAAAAGGUUUGAAGCUUCCUAUUUCCUUUUAGCUAUGAAUCUAAGCUUUCAUGACUAUUUAAAAAUUACUUUUUAAUUAAUUUCUUUACUUUUUAUGGUUUGUUUUUAAUUAAAUCACUGAAGUACGAGAGUUGAUUGUCACACUGUACAAUAUUACUAGAGCUCAAUAUAUCACACAGUUGGGGAUUGGAGUCUGAGUUUAGCCAGACUGAUUAGCGUUCAAAAUACUGGUGCAUUAUUCGACAAAACAAAAUCUUAAUUUUGUUGAAUUAAAAAAUAAAAUGGUUUUUGCUAUGAAAUUCCAUAUUUCCUUGCAUUUUAACUCUUUUGAUACCAACCCUCUUGGGACUGUCCCUGGUUCUAUGAUACAGGCUUCUUGUUUUAAAGUGAUCUAAAUCAUAACCCUGCAUCAAAAUUUUAUGUAAAUUUAAGUUCCAAAAACCAGUUUAAUAAUGAGUAAAUUAGUUUACUAAAUUCUUCAUUAUUUUCAAAAUUAAUUAAAACAAAAGCAGUGUUAUUUCAAUACGAAUAUGGUAGCAAGAGGGUUAAACUCAAAUAGAGAUAUAUAAGAGAAAAAUUUCAGUAUAGUUUGACUAAAAUUCUUCAAGGCAGUGCCAUAGCAAAGCUGCAGUCAAAUUACUGAAGCAAGUAAAAGAUAAAAGAUUAAAAAAAAAAAAAAAAAUUCUACCAAUCUAUUUGUGAUUCCAGACCCUGUUUUAUCAGUUCUGUACUGAGAGUGAGAAAAUACAGUGGGGGAAAUUUGAGCUUUGUUUUUUAACUUGUGAAUCUUACCAAAACUUUUAUACUGUACUUGUACUUUUUUUUUUGUAUUAUUGUUGAUUAAUUUUCCCUUUGUAUAUUUCAUGGUGUCAACAGUUUUUCUUGGUAUCUGGAAGUUUUAAGACUUUCUUUCAACCAUCAAAUUAACUGAUGCUUAAGUAAAAAUGCUUAGCAAAAAAAAAAAAAAAAGAAGAAAAAAGCGCAGAGGAACAAAUAAAAUGAAUUAUCCAAUAAUUUAUUUAUACAUAAAAUUAUAUAUAUAACUCUCAUAUAUGUAUAAAUAUAUACAUGCACUCUGUAUGUAUCUAUAUAAAGCUAACCUACAUAUAACUAUGUAUGUAUAAUGCUAUAAUUAUACAUAUAAUAAAGCUAUAUAUAUAUGAACUGUUUUUUGGGAGGUUUAUUCUGCCAAUAAACUGAAUAUGCACUGUUAGAAAAAACCCGGAAAUAUUUGGUCUUUCAUAUCCUGAGAUAUUUUCACAAAUUUACCAGAAAAAAAAUUAUUUUUGUUCUUUGAAAAAAUAAAUAAAUAAACCAAUCCAAACAAAACCAAAAACUUCACACUUCUUUUGGAUACUUGCUUACUCUUUGUCUCUUGUUAGUUACUAUCUCUCUUUCUCUCUCCAACAUUGUUGAGUUGAAGAAGGCAAUCAAAAAUAUUACUUAUAACCAUCUGUUUCUUUUAAACUCUAGUUUUUAGUUCUAUUUGCAGUUUGUACUAAUUAUUUAUUUUCCAAAAUAAAUCUGUAUUUAAAUAAAAACAAACAAACAAAAUAAA